UACGUAGGGUGCAAGCGUUAAUCGGAAUUACUGGGCGUAAAGCGUGCGCAGGCGGUUUUGUAAGUUUGUCGUGAAAGCCCCGGGCUCAACCUGGGAACAGCGCUUGAGACUGGCACGCUCGAGUUCGGGAGAGGAUGGUGGAAUUCCCAGUGUAGAGGUGAAAUUCGUAGAUAUUGGGAAGAACACCGAUGGCGAAGGGCAGCCAUCUGGACCGACACUGACGCUGAGGCGCGAAAGCGUGGGAGCAAACAGG
rnacentral:rRNA from 1 species